rnacentral:rRNA from 1 species
GGAACAUCGGAGGUUUGAGGUGCAAGCCCGUAGAUCAACAACGGAACUGCCCAUGGAGGUGCGCGGGUUGAGUCCUGUCGUGUUGGCGGAAUAGGCGGGGAAACAGAGAAAGGCAUAGAUACCGGCCCAGAACCACCGAUUGGGGAAUGGCAGCUGACUAGGCUGGUACUGACGCUCGGCACGAAAAGCGUGGGGGAGUGAACAGGAUUUGAUACCCUGGUAGUCCAUGCCGUAAACGAUGGAUACUCGCUGGUGGUGAUAGACGGUCACUGGCUUAGCGAAAGCGUUAAGUAUCCCACCUGGGGAGUACGCCCGCAAGGGUGAAACUCAAAGGAAUUGACGGGGGCCCGCACAAGUGGUGGAGCAUGUGGUUUAAUUCGAUGAUACGCGAGGAACCUUACCUAGGCUAGAAUGCGGGUGACCGGUUCGGAGACGAACCUUUCCUUCGGGACACAAAGCAAGGUGCUGCAUGGCCGUCGUCAGCUCGUGCCGUGAGGUGUUGGGUUAAGUCCCGCAACGAGCGCAACCCCUAUGUUUAGUUGCCAGCACGUAAUGGUGGGGACUCUAGACAGACUGCCUGCGCAAGCAGUGAGGAAGGCGGGGACGACGUCAGGUCAUCAUGGCCCUUACGCCUAGGGCUACACACGUGCUACAAUGGACGGUACAGCGGGUUGCCAACCAGCGAUGGUGCGCCAAUCCCGAAAAGCCGUUCUCAGUUCGGAUCGGAGUCUGCAACUCGACUCCGUGAAGCUGGAAUCACUAGUAAUCGCGCAUCAGCAAUGGCGCGGUGAAUACGUUCCCGGGCCUUGUACACACCGCCCGUCAAGCCAUGGAAGUUUGGUAGACCUGAAGCCGGUGCUCCGCAACGAAGCCGG